UGGAAACAGAGCAGGGCAGCUCGGGCGCUCUGGACACCAGGCAAGGCUUACAAUCAG
rnacentral:SRP_RNA from 1 species